AUCUCCUUACUCCUAAGAGUUAUGUUUCUCUUAAGUUAGUCCAAGGUCAUUAAUUUUUGAGAUUUUUCAUAUCAUAUGGCUGAAGAACACUAAACUUUUAGUCUACUAACUUUGAUAACAAAGUGUCAAACCCUAGAACUGAAGUUGUAGUCUGGUGGGAAAUUAAUGGAGUCUUAGCCACAGUGGGGGAGCAACCCCAGGCAAUGUUCUGGAAUCUUGGGAGAGCAAGAGUUUCUGUCAGAGAGAGACAGUUAGCUCUCUCAAUUCUGAAACAGCCUAAGAAGAGGUCUGGUCAAGACUUGCUCCUGAGGAAAGACGUACAUCUUCUACUGGUGAGUGGACACCCUUUCUCCCACUGAUUCCCAACUAAAGUGGCCAGUUUGAGAAGACACCAAGCAGCUGACAAGAUCACCUCACAGCUCCUGGUGCCCUGGGUCUGUAUGGUGCCCAGGGGACCAAGACAAGGGCCAUUCAAGCCUGAAUCUCUCAGGGGCCCAAGGCUGCCAAGGACUUAGUUCCCUCACUUGAGGAAGAAGCAUUGUUAUCCAUUUUGGAAGCUAUAAUUAUGUUAGUGAUGGCUAGUGCUUCUCUUGGCUUUGGAACUAUGACCAGAAUCCCUGCUCCUUUGUGAUUGACUACCAGCUCUUCUCUCAAACCUGCAACUAUAGUCUUGAACCCCAUAUGUGGCCAUUAGUAAGCUUCUCUCUUAGGGGAAGGAUUACAGCUGGUCUUCCUGGUCAAUGGAGUAAAGUUUCCUAGAAUUCUCCCUCUCAGCCAUGAACAAUGAAGCUUUUUCUCUCAACUGGGACAUGCAAGAAGUUAAUGGAAGACAAGAAGUCAUGAAGAAAGGGAUUGAGGUACAAUUCACAAUCAGGUCAGUAUUACUUAAACUUGUCUUCUGCCAUCUUCUUUCCCUUUCCAGAGAUUUUCAAAAAACUAAUAGUUGAAUAACCAAAAAGGAACUUGACUUUGACAGAGAUUUUUUUUCCUUCCUUCAUACCAAUUUUAUUUAAUAUAUAUAAGAAUAGAACAAUCCCAUUUAAACUCACAAAUGAAAUCUCUCCAUUUUUUAUCACACAAAAGGUAAUCUUUCCUUUUAAGUGAAUAGUGCUAUAAAUUCAGAAUAAAUGUUUUAAUUCAUUUUUUUUUAUUUUUCA
rnacentral:lncRNA from 1 species